rnacentral:lncRNA from 1 species
CUUGUUCCAUCAAUUAACGAGAGUGGAGGCUGUGAUCGCCAACUACAGCCGUGGACGUACGUCUCCUUUUGAUUCUGCAAGUUUCAGCUUCAUGUGUUUGAAUUUAUCUUAUUGCAGGCGUGCAUAUUUAGGAUUGGUGUGUCUCCCGCCUCCCUGAUCAUCUGGCAUGUCCCUCCUUUUCUCUGGCAGCCUUGUCUGCCGUUAACAGAGCGCGCCACUCCCGUGGUUCACACGGUACAGCCCGCAACAUCCUUUACUGCCAACCUACAUGUGCCUUCAUAUUUAAAGGGUUUCUUCUGGGAGUUCCCUGCCUUUUAACUGAAGUAUUUUGAUCAUUUACAUAUGAUUUGGUUCACUUUGAGUAACCCGAAAAAAAUGCAACACACUUUCAUGAUUAAAAAAAAAGACUCUCAACAAGUUCUCUGGUAGCCUAGCACUUAAGGAUCACGUGUUGUCGCUGCUAUGGCUCAAGUCACUGCUGUGGUGUGAGUUCAAUCCCUGGCCUGGGAACUUCCACAUGCUGUGAGUUCGGCCAAAAAAAAAAAAAAAACGCUGGAUACAAAAGAGUAAAACUAAAUACUUCCAUUUCUAUGAAAUUUUAAACAAAGCAAAAUGAACCCAAAGUAACAAAGAGACUAGAGGUCCUUAAGAUCAAGGGUGGCAAGAAGGACAGAGUCUGGGGAUGAUGCAAACGCUCUGAAUCCACACUGGGUUCUGCAUCUGUAUUUGUCAAAAUUCACAGAACCACAAACAUAAAACAGGUCCAUUUACUGUAAGUUACACCUCAAUAUCAUUUUUUAAAAAAACAGGAGUUCCCA